GAUGAACGCUAGCUACAGGCUUAACACAUGCAAGUCGAGGGGAAACGGCAUUGAGUGCUUGCACUCUUUGGACGUCGACCGGCGCACGGGUGAGUAACGCGUAUCCAACCUUCCCAUUACUGUGGGAUAACCUGCCGAAAGGCAGACUAAUACCGCAUAGUCUUCGAUGACGGCAUCAGAUUUGAAGUAAAGAUUUAUCGGUAAUGGAUGGGGAUGCGUCUGAUUAGCUUGUUGGCGGGGUAACGGCCCACCAAGGCGACGAUCAGUAGGGGUUCUGAGAGGAAGGUCCCCCACAUUGGAACUGAGACACGGUCCAAACUCCUACGGGAGGCAGCAGUGAGGAAUAUUGGUCAAUGGACGGAAGUCUGAACCAGCCAAGUAGCGUGCAGGAUGACGGCCCUAUGGGUUGUAAACUGCUUUUGUAUGGGGAUAAAGUUAGGGACGUGUCCCUAUUUGCAGGUACCAUACGAAUAAGGACCGGCUAAUUCCGUGCCAGCAGCCGCGGUAAUACGGAAGGUCCAGGCGUUAUCCGGAUUUAUUGGGUUUAAAGGGAGCGUAGGCUGGAGAUUAAGUGUGUUGUGAAAUGUAGACGCUCAACGUCUGAAUUGCAGCGCAUACUGGUCUCCUUGAGUACGCACAACGUUGGCGGAAUUCGUCGUGUAGCGGUGAAAUGCUUGGAUAUGACGAAGAACUCCGAUUGCGAAGGCAGCUGACGGGAGCGCAACUGACGCUUAAGCUCGAAGGUGCGGGUAUCAAACAGG
rnacentral:rRNA from 1 species